rnacentral:lncRNA from 1 species
AUGAGAUAAAUGCAGGUUUCUUCCUCAUUGGAGCCAGUCGAGGAGUCAUCCUGAAUCCUCUCCCUCCAGCUGCCCUCACCUCCAGGUCCUGCUUCUGCCUGGUGAGUCAUCUCAGCUGAGGCUCCUCCUCCAUCUACCAGAUCUUCCCCACGGCUGCCAGGCUAUCUUUCCAAAACCCAGAUAGGAUGGAGCUCCUCCUGCUCUCGAAUCCUUCGGGGCUCCCACACCAACCUCCUGGUGUGGCUACAGAACCCUUCACGUUUGGGCCCCAACCUUACUUCCUGCCACGCCCCCCACCCACUCUACACAGAACUCAUUGGCUCGGACGUGCAGGCCUCUGAGCCUUUGCACACACAGAUCCCUCCACCUGGAAUAAUACCCUUUCCACCUUCUCUGCCUGGUGAACCCCUCCGACCCAGCAUAAAAUGCCGACUGCUCUAGGAACACGUCCUAAAGAACUGAAAGCAGGGACUCGAGCAGAUAUUUGUGCACACGUGUUCAGAGCAGCGUCGUUCACAAUAGCCAAACGGUGGAAACCACCCAAGUGUCCAUCAACAGACGGAUGGAUAAACGAAAUGUGGGCUAUCCAUACAGUGGAAUAUUACUCAUCCAGACUAAAGAUUGAGAUUUCGAUGCUACAACAUAGAGGGACCUCAAAAACAUUAUGCUUAAUGAAGUAAGCCAGACACAGAAGGGCAAAAUAUUAUAUGAUUCUACUUAUAAGAGGUAGCUAGAAUAGGCAAAUUCAUAGAGGCCCAAAGUAGGACAGAGGUUUCCGGGGCUGGGAGGGGGCGUUACAGGGACUUAGUGUUCACUGGGCAGAGUUUCUGUCGGGGAGGAUGAAAAGUUUUGUGUAUAGAAAGUAUAAAUACAACAGCAUUGUAAAUGCAUUUAGUUUCACUGAACUAUACACUUACGAAUGGUUAAAAUGGUAAAUAUUAUGCUAUGUAUGCUUUACCAUAAUUUUUUAAAAACUCUAAAAAAGACAUGCCAGUGGCUCUGAGGCAUCUCCUUUAACUUCCCGGAGAUGAUCGGUUCUUCCCUUCUCUGUUGUCCAUUCGGAAUCUUUCCGUGGUACUCGCUUGCUGAAUUGUACUUUAAAUGUCCGUUACACGUCCGUCCCCUGGCAGACGGGGAGAACCCGGAGGGCAGGGGCUCACCUUUGUCAUCUCAGGCUUUCCCCCAGCACAGUGUCUGGCACAGAAUAGCUGUCAGGAAAUGUUUAUUGGAUGGAAAACAUAAGAACUCUGUGCUAUGGACUGAACUGCGUGCCCCCCAAAUCCGUAUGUUGAGGCUCUGACCGCCACUGUGCCUUUUUUUGGAGAUGAGGCCUUUCCAGAAGGAAUUAACGUUAAAUAAGGUCCUAAGGGUGGGGCCCUGAUCUGAGAGUGUCAGUGUCCUUAUAAAAGAGGAAGAGAUGCCAGAGAGCGAGCUCUCUCCACUCUGUGGGGACACAGUGACAACGUGGCUGGAAGAGUCCGCAUCAGGAUCUGAAUUUUCCAGCACCUUGAUCUUGGACAUUCCAGCCUCCAGAACUGUGAGAUAUAGAUGUUGUUUCAACCCCCCAGUCAUUGGUAUUUUGUCAUUGCAG